GCCAUAUCUACGGUGGCCUUCAGGGCUCCACCAUCCUCACAUGGCCACGCUAGGGUCCUGGCUUCCAGCACAUGAACCUUCUGGGGACAAACCACAUCCUGCCACAGACUUUUGUCCACCGCUAUUUUGAAUACUGUAUUCUACCAAGUCCAGAAGUAACUGUGCUUUCUCCAGAAUGGCCACACAAAGAGCUCCAUGGCUACCCAGGGAGGUAAAAGUUCUUCUGUCCAAAUAUCUCUUGGGCUGUGGACACUGACAGAGGCAUCAGACAGAGCAGCCCCCUGACUCCUCAGCCCCCCAGGGCAGCAGCUGUGCCUCCUAAAACACCAGAGCCAGGGGCAUGGGAGAAGGCGCGAAGGGCCAGAUGCUGCACUUCUCACGCUGACCACUGGAUCAUGGGCCAGACAGGUGAGUUGUGGGUCAUCUGAAUUUCCC
rnacentral:lncRNA from 1 species